UACGAAGGGGGCUAGCGUUGCUCGGAAUCACUGGGCGUAAAGCGCACGUAGGCGGCUUCUUAAGUCAGGGGUGAAAUCCUGGAGCUCAACUCCAGAACUGCCCUUGAUACUGAGGAGCUCGAGUCCGGAAGAGGUGAGUGGAACUGCGAGUGUAGAGGUGAAAUUCGUAGAUAUUCGCAAGAACACCAGUGGCGAAGGCGGCUCACUGGCCCGAUACUGACGCUGAGGCACGAAAGCGUGGGGAGCAAACAGG
rnacentral:rRNA from 1 species